AGAAAUGGUCCCAUCCCCACCCCCGCCCUGUCCUCUCUCCCACCACAGAUGGCUGCAAUGGAGGCAAACAAGAAAGCUGUAGAAGUUGCCAUGAAGGGAUAUGAACACUUUUUGCAGAAGCUGGACCAUGACCACCAGAGCAUGAACCACUGCCUAAGUGUGAAGCCUGCGGAAAUGCAUCAACGCCUGGAGGGGAAACGCCAGGAGUUGCUGGAGUGCUGCUGGAGGGAGCUGCUGGGCGAGGACCUCCAGAAACAGGCUGCCCUGAAGGAGCUGAAGCAGGGACUGGCCAGUCAGAUGGCUCAGUUCCUAAUGGCCUACAGAGAGCGCUUUAAAAAGAAGACGUACAUGUGGUGGGGCAUGCGCAUUGUAGAGGGUGCCGUGGUAGUGGCGGGUGGGAGUGUUGGAGGACGCAUCGGUUUGAGUGUAGCUGCGGCUAUGGUGGCGGGUGCAGAACGUUUUAUGGGGCUAGAUAGAUAGAUAGAUAGAUGGGUUUAUAGGAAAAAUAUAAACAACUUACCACAGGUAGCUAGAUUUCAAAAGGACACAGUGGGGUCACCAAGAUCAAAAUCGAGCCCUGACCCAAUCGACGUCAGUCGAUAAAUAACCCUGCCCUGGCUCCUGUGCUCUGAGCCAGCCCCUGCAUCCCUCCGUUGCAAGUUUCAUUGUUUUUCAUUUUUAACAAGUGGGAGAAAAAAUGAUUUUCAUAUUUUGAGUUUGGUUGGGGUUUUUUUUUACAUUUUCUCCCCACCUGAAAAAAUGUGUGUGGAGGGGCAAUUUGGGUUUUUUUUCGCCUGCUGAUUUGAAAAUGAUACCAAUUGGUGAGGGAGGUUAGAAAACCCCAAAAUCCUAUUUUUCAGUUUAUUCUCCCAAUGAAAGCCAAAUUUUCCCACCAAAAAGUCACUUCAAAAGCAACAGUUUUCCCACAAAAAAUGUUUUUUGUGAUUAAAAUUCAUGUUUUUGGUGACAGUCUCAGUUGAAAUAUUUCCAUCAGCUGGGAGGAGGGAGGAUCUAAGUACUGGGUUUUCAUUUGGGGGGGAAAGGGCUGUUUGAAUUCAUGUGAACAGGCCCAUGUUACCAUCCAAGUGAGGACAGGACAAUUGUGCUCUUAACUCAUGUAGCUGGGGUCUGAACGUCUGCACACUGCCUGUCAAACGGGUCGCUCACACACCUUUCCCCUGAGCAGAGAUCAGGCCGGAGGGUUAAAGAAAGAGAAACAGGAAUCUCCUCGCAAUGGUGUGUCCCAUUCCCUCCCCGCAUGAGCCAGCCAGUCCCCUGGCCUGGGGCUGGAUUGGAGCCGGCGCCCCCUAGAGGGGAAAGGCCCCAUGUCCCUUUCAGCCUGUCUUACAGUGGCUCAAGAGCGUGGGCACCAACCUCAGGGAAGACAGGUAAGAAACAGGGCGCAAAACCCAAACUGGCUGUGAGCCCCACACUUAGAUUUCACCAACCCAGUAUCAAGUGUGAACUCCUCGGGUGCUUUAACAGCCUUAACAUGGAGUCCCAGACAGUCCCCUGAGGCACCCAAAUCUGUCUGGUCACCCAGGUGAGGCUGCCCUUGUGAUAGACGGUCCCUUACACCAGAGAUCACAGCAAUAUUCAGGUUACUCCCAGCCCCAAAGGACCCGUCACCUACCCCACAUCAAUUGCACCAUAGAUCUCACACCACAGACAACGCUUGUAGCCAAUCCUGUAAUAAACUGUCUCCAGAUGUAUUAAAUAGGAGAGUU
rnacentral:lncRNA from 1 species